rnacentral:rRNA from 1 species
AGUGAACGCUGGCGGUAGGCCUAACACAUGCAAGUCGAACGGCAGCACAGUAAGAGCUUGCUCUUACGGGUGGCGAGUGGCGGACGGGUGAGGAAUACAUCGGAAUCUACUUUUUCGGGGGGGAUAACGUAGGGAAACUUACGCUAAUACCGCAUACGACCUACGGGUGAAAGCAGGGGAUCUUCGGACCUUGCGCGAUUGAAUGAGCCGAUGUCGGAUUAGCUAGUUAGCGGGGUAAAGGCCCACCAAGGCGACGAUCCGUAGCUGGUCUGAGAGGAUGAUCAGCCACACUGGAACUGAGACACGGUCCAGACUCCUACGGGAGGCAGCAGUGGGGAAUAUUGGACAAUGGGCGCAAGCCUGAUCCAGCCAUACCGCGUGGGUGAAGAAGGCCUUCGGUUUGUAAAGCCCUUUUGUUGGGAAAGAAAAGCAGCAGGUUAAUACCCCGCUGUUCUGACGGUACCCAAAGAAUAAGCACCGGCUAACUUCGUG